AGGGAACAACUGGGAACUGGAAGUAAACCACGUGGAAUGGCUUGCUCUGGAAUGGUUCCCAGCCCAUUCCCGGUUUUUACCCCGUUCCCGUCCCAGGAAGCUGCCCCCGUCUGAGGUCGUGUCGAAAUAAUCCACAGAGCACGACAACUGAAGGCGGCGCAACAGCAGGGUUGCGCACGAGCAGCGACGACAAGGCAGCGCACGAGCGAGUACAGCGGCUGCAGCACGGAUACAGCCCUCCCUCGCCCGCCCUUCGCUCUGCGUGGCUCCCUCGCCUCCGGCCUCCGCUCCGUUCCGCGUGGAUCCCUCGCCUCCAGCCAAGUUCUUUUCAAGAUUCAAGUUCUUUUCAGAGACCCAUCCCUUGCUGUACUGAAGCAUAUUCACUAGCCUACUUUGAGGAUAUGGUCGGCAGGAUCAAAGUCAUACUGAUGCUGAAAACUGAUGUGUGAAUUGCUGCUUGAUAGCAGUUUUUUGUCUGAAAACUGAUGCUGAAAAACUGAAAGCCACUUCUCUGCCUGAUAAGAUCAAAUACAGCUGCUCUCUUUCUGUAAGCAGUAUUUUUUUUUGUUUGUCAAAACUGAAAGCAUGCAAGCCACUUAUUUGUUUGUCAAAACAGCUGCUAUAUUUGUUUGUCAAAAUGGCUGGAAGCAAGUCACUUCAGCACUUAUAUUGGUUAGAUUGGCACCCAUGCAGAACUGAAGGUUUCAGUUAAUCAUGUAGAGCCCUCACAAUUAUCAUUGUCCGUGUAUGAAGCAGAAUUGAAGAUUACUGACAUGCACUUGUCAUUGAUAUCA